UACAUGGGGUGCAAACGUUGCUCGGAAUUAUUGGGCGUAAAGCGCACGUAGGCGGUCUACUAAGUCGGAUGUGAAAUCCCUCGGCUUAACCGAGGAAGUGCAUCCGAAACUGGCAGGCUAGAGUACAGAAGAGGGUCGCGGAAUUCCCGGUGUAGAGGUGAAAUUCGUAGAUAUCGGGAGGAACACCGGUGGCGAAGGCGGCGACCUGGGCUGAUACUGACGCUGAGGUGCGAAAGCGUGGGGAGCAAACAGG
rnacentral:rRNA from 1 species